GAUGAACGCUGGCGGCGUGCUUAACACAUGCGAGUCGAACGAAGCACCUUGAUUUGAUUCUUCGGAUGAAGAUCUUGGUGACUGAGUGGCGGACGGGUGAGUAACGCGUGGGUAACCUGCCUCAUACAGGGGGAUAACAGUUAGAAAUGACUGCUAAUACCGCAUAAGACCACCGCACCGCAUGGUGCAGGGGUAAAAACUCCGGUGGUAUGAGAUGGACCCGCGUCUGAUUAGGUAGUUGGUGGGGUAACGGCCUACCAAGCCGACGAUCAGUAGCCGACAUGAGAGGGUGACCGGCGACAUUGGGACUGAGACACGGCCCAAACUCCUACGGGAGGCAGCAGUGGGGAAUAUUGCACAAUGGGGGAAACCAUGAUGCAGCGACGCCGCGUGAGCGAUGAAGUAUUUCGGUAUGUAAAGCUCUAUCAGCAGGGAAGAAAAUGACGGUACCUGACUAAGAAGCACCGGCUAAAUACGUG
rnacentral:rRNA from 1 species